GGAGAGAUGGCUUAGCAGUUAGAGCACUUGUAGCUCUUACAGAGGACCUGGGUUCAAUUCCCAGCCGCUACG
rnacentral:tRNA from 1 species